rnacentral:piRNA from 1 species
ACCAUUAUGAACGGCGAUGCCUGCCACUAG